ACCUGGCUGGCUUUGUCCGUAGAGCAUGUGACUCUUGAUCAGGGGGGUAGUGAGUUCAAACCCCACGCUGGGUG
rnacentral:tRNA from 1 species